GCGGGAGUGGCGGAAUCGGCAGACGCGCACGUUUGAGGGGCGUGUGGGCUUCCCGUACGGGUUCAAGUCCCGUCUCCCGCACCA
rnacentral:tRNA from 1 species